CUGGACAAUACUCCCCUAUUAGAACACCUUUAUGAGGGAGAGACAUCUUGUCCAUUCAAUCCUUUUUAUCAGUAAAAGAAUGACUUUCAGGAUUAAUCAAUUUGCAAAUGGAAACGUGGACCCACGAUUUGAACAGCAGAAGUUUGCAGGGCCCCUUUCACGUGGGAUGUAACAAGCGCUUUUCUUGCUCCAGGAGCGAUAGCAUACAAUUGUUUCAUUCUAGCCGGCUGGACAGCAUUUCACCUUUUGUAAAAACACUAAAUGCUUACGUUAAUGAUAUGCAAAUCACUCUGAUAGUUAAA